AUUGAACGCUGGCGGAAUGCUUUACACAUGCAAGUCGAACGGCAGCACGGGGCAACCUGGUGGCGAGUGGCGAACGGGUGAGUAAUACAUCGGAACGUGCCCAAUCGUGGGGGAUAACGUAGCGAAAGUUACGCUAAUACCGCAUACGAUCUACGGAUGAAAGCGGGGGAUCGCAAGACCUCGCGCGAAUGGAGCGGCCGAUGUCAGAUUAGGUAGUUGGUGGGGUAAAGGCUCACCAAGCCGACGAUCUGUGGCUGGUCUGAGAGGACGACCAGCCACACGGGGACUGAGACACGGCCCAGACUCCUACGGGAGGCAGCAGUGGGGAAUUUUGGACAAUGGGCGCAAGCCUGAUCCAGCCAUUCCGCGUGCAGGAUGAAGGCCUUCGGGUUGUAAACUGCUUUUGUACGGAACGAAAAGUCUUGGGUUAAUACCCUGGGAUCAUGACGGUACCGUAAGAAUAAGCACCGGCUAACUACGUGCUAGCCGCCGCCGUAACAC
rnacentral:rRNA from 1 species